GACGAACCGUCCAAACGUUAUUCGGAAUCACUGGGCUUAAAGGGUGCGUAGGCGGCGCGGAAAGUUGGGUGUGAAAUACCUCGGCUCAGCCGAGGAACUGCGCCCAAAACUACCGUGCUCGAGGAAGAUAGAGGUGAGCGGAACUUAGGGUGGAGCGGUGAAAUGCGUUGAUAUCCGAAGGAACACCGGUGGCGAAAGCGGCUCACUGGGUCUCUACUGACGCUGAGGCACGAAAGCUAGGGGAGCGAACGGG
rnacentral:rRNA from 1 species